CCUUUCCUACUCUGCCCAGUGCAGGAAUAACAACAUGCUAUUAUCUAUUUCAGGAGGAAAAAUGCUGGGUUUUUCAGCCUAAGCCAGAGGAUUUCCUUUAACUACAGCAGAGCUUUAGGUGCUGGGACAGAGCAGGUUUAUCUGCAGAACUCCAGGAAUCAAACAGACCUCUAAGCAGUUAUUUUGACCCAAUGUGGUGUGAUGGGAGGAGAUCAGAAAUGGGGCUGUGUUUUCCUCAGCGAGUCCAUUUUGAUGGCAGACCUGAGAGCUGAAAGCAACUUUUCAAAAUGGCAAGUGAGGUGCUCUACGCCGUGGUGUCACCCAAGGAAAGAGUGAAUUUUGUUUCAGAAGCUUCAGACACAGGUGAUGCAGUCACAUAUGCUGAGGUGAAUAUGAAAUGGACAUCUGACAGCCCUGACAGCACACCCAAAAUUACACGUUCAGUGCCCUGCUCGGAGAACUCCCUCUGGUUCUACCUUGUCUUCGCCCUGCUCUUCUGCUCGGUGGUUCUGCUCAUCACGGUCAUCCUGCUGGCGGUGAAAUGCUACAGCCGCUGACGCUGCUGCCACAGCGGAUAAGUCAGCACGGGAAGGUUCUGAUUCUUCUAUGGAACAGGACACAGUGGCUGUUUUAUUUGACAUUAUUUUGGCUGAAGAGACAAAAUGAAGACAUGUCAUCAGUCUGAUCACUCUCCAGUUAUGUCAUCCCAGAUCUCUGUAAAACUUCUAAUCUCUCCAUAUGUGGACAAGCAUAUAUUAAUUUUAUUUGGAAUUUUCUUAAUCCUGUAAUACCAACAACCAUCCAGCUAUAUCAGUGCAUGUAUCAAGACAUGGGCUCAAGCUCCUGCAUCGAAAGGUGAAUUUGGGCCUUAUUUAGACAACAAAAAUGACCAGGUGGACACAUACUUUUAAUUCACAUCUGACUUGAUUCUGCACUGAUGUGCAACACAGAAAAGCUUUUGGAUUGCAUGCAAGUGCAAAAACUCACAGACAAAACAGGGAAUGUGAAACGUUGCAAUGAGCUUUUUUUUAUAAAGCCUGGGCUUGGACUUGAUUUUUCUUCUUCUGACAGCCUUUAGUUGGAUUUGUAUGAAAAGGAUAUUCAAUGUUCAAGAAACUAAAUGUUGUUAGUAGAGAAGUCUCAGUUUCACCUUCUCAUUGGCUUGAAUUAAAUUGUUCUGUUCCACUUGUCCAGAGGAGCAUCUCACAAUAUAUUGUUUCUGUCUUGGGGCAGUAAUUGAUUUUUGUAUUUGUUUGGGUUUGGUUUUUCCCCACGUGCCAUAGCUUCAGUUAAAACUGAGUCCUCCACUGGAACUGAGGCAUUGAAUUUCAAAUACAUUUAUUUGUAAUUAUGACCUUAUUGUCUGUUUUCAUAUUAUUUCUGGAUCUUAUCCAUUUGAACUUCUUUGUGGCAGGCUGCAGAGGAUUUGCAGACUCUGACUAGGAGGAGUCUAUAUAGCAAAUAUUUCUGGAAUAUUUCUUGUAUCUAAUAUUACCUGUACUUUAGCUGUUGCUGCAGUUGGUAAUGUACCCUAUCUUAUCUUUAUAAUACAUAAAUGCACAGAAGUCAAUAAAGGGAUUCAGUGAAG
ensembl:lncRNA